rnacentral:ncRNA from 2 species
CGAGAGGCGAUGAAAAAGAGGAAUAAGGAACAGGACCUCUAGAGAGCCGGGGCAGCUGGAAACCGGCGGUCCUCCUCAUAUCCAGAGCGCUUUGGAGCCCCUGAGCGGAAAUUGGAGUAUGCUCAGACGGAUCGUCCCGUUAUCAUGGCGAUGGUUAUUAACCUGUGAAGACUAUCUCUCGCAAGAGGAUAGUGAAUAAGGGUGGCACCGCGAUGGAAAUUCCCUUUCGCCCCUUAC